CAGUAGCCGCGGUAAUACGAAGGGGGCUAGCGUUGCUCGGAAUGACUUGGCGUAAAGGGCGCGUAGGCGGCGAUCAAAGUCAGGCGUGAAAUUCCUGGGCUCAACCUGGGGGCUGCGCUUGAUACUUGGUUGCUUGAGUGGGGAAGAGGGUCGUGGAAUUCCCAGUGUAGAGGUGAAAUUCGUAGAUAUUGGGAAGAACACCGGUGGCGAAGGCGGCGACCUGGUCCUUGACUGACGCUGAGGCGCGAAAGCGUGGGGAGCAAACAGGAUUAGAUACCCGCGUAGUCCCUGUCUCUUAUAC
rnacentral:rRNA from 1 species